CAGCUCUUUCCCCUGUGAAUAUAAUGACUGUAUCAGGUAAAGAAACCCCGGCUAACUCCGUGCCAGCAGCCGCGGUAAUACGGAGGGGGUUAGCGUUGUUCGGAAUUACUGGGCGUAAAGCGCGCGUAGGCGGACUGGAAAGUUGGGGGUGAAAUCCCAGGGCUCAACCCUGGAACUGCCUCCAAAACUAUCAGUCUAGAGUUCGAGAGAGGUGAGUGGAAUUCCGAGUGUAGAGGUGAAAUUCGUAGAUAUUCGGAGGAACACCAGUGGCGAAGGCGGCUCACUGGCUCGAUACUGACGCUGAGGUGCGAAAGUGUGGGGAGCAAACAGGAUUAGAUACCCUGGUAGUCCACACCGUAAACGAUGAAUGCCAGUCGUCGGGUAGCAUGCUAUUCGGUGACACACCUAACGGAUUAAGCAUUCCGCCUGGGGAGUACGGUCGCAAGAUUAAAACUCAAAGGAAUUGACGG
rnacentral:rRNA from 1 species